AUUUCUAAAUCUAGUCAUCAGAAAUUUAAAAAUAAUUGUUAAACAUACUAGCUACCAUAAAGCACCAUUUCAAGUACUUCAUCCAGAAACAAUUAAAUUACAGGGGGAUGGGAUUGGACCUACCUCAACUGAAUGUACCAGGCUCUGCUGACUCCACAUGAGAGGUCUUACCCUUUUGGAGGAGGGAAUGGAUGGUUCUUACUAUGUAGUCCUUUCUGAGUGGGGACACUGUGUAGCUAUGUAGUUUAGGCUGGCCUCAAAUGCAGAGAGAUCUACCUGUUUGUCUCUUUGAAUCCUGGGAAUAAAGAUUUGAGAUUUCAGUAUCAUACACCAGCCAUUGUGACUGGGGAGUAACUGAGGGUCAACAACACAAAGAUAUUACAAAUGUUUCAGAAAAUAUAACUGCUCACUAUGCUGCCUGGAUGACAAUUCAUCAUACACAGAAAGAUGCCUGAAUAAUGUAAGUGUGAAAACCUUGGAAUCCAAACAGUUAAAGGGGAAAAUAGAUUUCUGAAGGUUUGUCCACUGACUUUACCUGGGUGUUGUGUGUGUGUGUGUGUGUGUGUGUGUGUGUGUGUGUGUGUGUGUGUA